AAAUAAUCUGGCUGCAACAUCUGUCACCCCAUUGAUCACCAGGGUUGAUUCAGCUGAUCUGGCUGGCUAGGCAGGUGUUCCCUUCUUCCCUCACCACUCCAUGUAUGUCCCUCCCGAAACUGCGCGCUUGGUCGAAGAGGAAAGCCUUCCCUGAAUAGAGUCAGACUGGUCUUCAGUUGAGGGUAUACGAGUAACUGCGGUCCCCUGCUAGAACCUCCAAACAAGCUCUCAAGGGAAACUUUACUUCUGCUUAGGGCCCACACCCAGCAGUGCUCAGGGACUCUUGGCUCUGUGCUCAGGAGU
rnacentral:sRNA from 1 species